UGCCAGACUCCUACGGGAGGCAGCAGUGAGGAAUAUUGGUCAAUGGGCGGAAGCCUGAACCAGCCAAGUCGCGUGAGGGAAUAAGGCCCUACGGGUCGUAAACCUCUUUUGCCGGGGAGCAAGGGCGGGGACGUGUCCCGGCCCGGAGAGUACCCGGAGAAAAAGCAUCGGCUAACUCCGUGCCAGCAGCCGCGGUAAUACGGAGGAUGCGAGCGUUAUCCGGAUUUAUUGGGUUUAAAGGGUGCGCAGGCGGUCUGUUAAGUCAGCGGUCAAAGCUCGGGGCUCAACCCCGCCCAGCCGUCGGAACUGCCGGGCUAGAGUGGGCGAGAAGUAUGCGGAAUGCGUGGUGUAGCGGUGAAAUGCAUAGAUAUCACGCAGAACUCCGAUUGCGAGGGCAGCAUACCGGCGCCCAACUGACGCUGAAGCACGAAAGCGUGGGUAUCGAACAGGAUUAGAUACCCUUGUAU
rnacentral:rRNA from 1 species